rnacentral:rRNA from 1 species
CGUAGGGUGCGAGCGUUGAUCGGAAUUACUGGGCGUAAAGCGUGCGCAGGCGGCUUUGCAAGACAGAUGUGAAAUCCCCGGGCUUAACCUGGGAACUGCAUUUGUGACUGCAUGGCUGGAGUGCGGCAGAGGGGGAUGGAAUUCCGCGUGUAGCAGUGAAAUGCGUAGAUAUGCGGAGGAACACCGAUGGCGAAGGCAAUCCCCUGGGCCUGCACUGACGCUCAUGCACGAAAGCGUGGGGAGCAAACAGGAUUAGAUACCCUGGUAGUCCACGCCCUAAACGAUGUCAACUGGUUGUUGGACGGCUUGCUGUUCAGUAACGAAGCUAACGCGUGAAGUUGACCGCCUGGGGAGUACGGCCGCAAGGUUG